rnacentral:rRNA from 1 species
GAUGAACGCUAGCGGCAGGCUUAAUACAUGCAAGUCGAGGGGCAGCACGGGUAGCAAUACCUGGUGGCGACCGGCAAACGGGUGCGGAACACGUACGCAACCUUCCCGAAACUGGUGAAUAGCCCUCCGAAAGGAGGAUUAAUACACCGUAAGAUAAAUGGAGUGGCAUCACUCUAUUAUUAUAGCUACGGCGGUUUUGGAUGGGCGUGCGCCUGAUUAGGUAGUUGGCGGGUAACGGCCCACCAAGCCUGCGAUCAGUAACUGGUGUGAGAGCACGACCAGUCACACGGGCACUGAGACACGGGCCCGACUCCUACGGGAGGCAGCAGUAAGGAAUAUUGGUCAAUGGACGCAAGUCUGAACCAGCCAUGCCGCGUGAAGGGAUGAAGGCCCUCUGGGUUGUAAACUUCUUUUGUACGGAACGAAACGGCGAGCUCUAAUACAGUUUGCUAAUGACGGUACCGUAAGAAUAAGCACCGGCUAACUACGUGCCCAGCAGCCGCGGUAAUCA